rnacentral:rRNA from 1 species
GACGAACGCUGGCGGCGUGCCUAAUACAUGCCAGUUGAGCGAUGAAGCUUGGUGCUUGCACCAAUUUGAAGAGCAGCGAACGGGUGAGUAACGCGUGGGGAAUCUGCCUUUGAGCGGGGGACAACAUUUGGAAACGAAUGCUAAUACCGCAUAACAACUUUAAACAUAAGUUUUAAGUUUGAAAGAUGCAAUUGCAUCACUCAAAGAUGAUCCCGCGUUGUAUUAGCUAGUUGGUGAGGUAAAGGCUCACCAAGGCGAUGAUACAUAGCCGACCUGAGAGGGUGAGCGGCCACAUUGGGACUGAGACACGGCCCAAACGCCUACGGGAGGCAGCAGUAGGGAAUCGUCGGCAAUGGACGAAAGUCUGACCGAGCAACGCCGCGUGAGUGAAGAAGGUUGUCGGAUCGUAAAACUCUGUUGGUAGAGAAGAACGUUGGUGAGAGUGGAAAGCUCAUCAAGUGACGGUAACUACCCAGAAAGGGACGGCUAACUACGUG